GAUGAACGCUGGCGGCGUGCCUAAUACAUACAAGUCGAGCGAACAGACGAGGAGCUUGCUCCUCUGACGUUAGCGGCGGACGGGUGAGUAACACGUGGAUAACCUACCUAUAAGACUGGGAUAACUUCGGGAAACCGGAGCUAAUACCGGAUAAUAUAUUGAACCGCAUGGUUCAAUAGUGAAAGACGGUUUUGCUGUCACUUAUAGAUGGAUCCGCGCCGCAUUAGCUAAUUGGUAAGGUAACGGCUUACCAAGGCAAUGAUGCGUAGCCGACCUGAGAGGGUGAUCGGCCACACUGGAACUGAGACACGGUCCAGACUCCUACGGGAGGCAGCAGUAGGGAAUCUUCCGCAAAGGGCGAAAGCCUGACGGAGCAACGCCGCGUGAGUGAUGAAGGUCUUCGGAUCGUAAAACUCUGUUAUUAGGGAAGAACAAAUGUGUAAGUAACUAUGCACGUCUUGACGGUACCUAAUCAGAAAGCCACGGCUAACUACGUG
rnacentral:rRNA from 1 species